AGUUUGAGAGUCCUCGCCUUCGUCCUCCCUGUCUCCUUCGGCACCCAUCGUGACGAAACGGAUGCUGUAACGAUGCGUUGCGUACUCAUCGUAAUUACUCCGAGUGUCUUUAAUUCGCGUCUCGGAUACGACCUCUUCGGUUGCGCUGAUCAUCGCUGUGUGUGUGUUAUAAAUUGACACCAUCGAUGGAGGUUGGGGACACCACUGAUUGAAUAAUCUCUCUGUUGUUCUUCAUUCGCGUCGUAGUCAUUUCUUUUACCGAAACGCUCGGUGUUCAGAUUCAUUCCGUCGUUUAGUCAUCACUUUGCAAGGCGGUGUUUCGACUUUCUGUAUCUCUUCUUCAUCUUCCUACUGCCUCUGAUCCUCAUCUCUAUCGCUUCUUUUUUCCAUCAACAUGUCCCUCUCCGAUUCAGAGUGGGCAUGAGACACCCAUGACAGACUAUUACAUCAGAUGAUCAGAGAAAAAUCAACUCACAUGUGAGAACUGAUGCAGAGAGAAAUGUCUCACCAACGCAUUUAUGGAGUCUCUGCUUCUGCACAUCUUAACAUGGCGACUGAUUACAUUCUCCAGCUCCUGCUAAUAUAUCUGUAUUGGAGACAUCACUGAUGAUAUACUUUCAAGAAUACAAUGGUUGGAGUCUUGGAGUAUUGAACAUGUCAUUCCAGGAAGAAAUAUACCAUCAAAUGCUCUCGCACAGUGUGUUACGUACGAGAAUAGGCAUCACUCCUACAUUGCUUUGGUUGGUCCAGCCUGGUUGCAGUCGAUGCUUGCUCAAGAAAGCAGAAAUGCUUGAUGUAAGAGUGCAGUAGUUUUAAUCAGUGUCUUUUUAUACAGACGGGUCCACCCUGUUAGUUCUCCUGUUUUGUCUUUUUGACUGAUUCAGUGACUGUAGGAAACUCUGAUUUGGACUUUGGAAUUAUUGAAAGUGUUAGAAAAGCAAAUGUUACUUGAAAACACAGGAGGUGAAUACUUUAGAAUUUUAUCAAACUGUCAUAGUUUAAGAAUGUGAUUUCAUUCAAGAUUCAAUAGAAUAAAUAAAAAAAAAUCAUUCUACAUUAAAUAG